GGGUGUUGGUGGUGUUGGUGUGGUAGAUCUUCUACGAUAGCCCACGCGGAAUGGUGGUCUGGUGCUGCCGGGAAUCUGUCGGUUUUAGAAGUUUCUUGUUAUGUAUUUGUUUGGUUUGGAGAAAUAAAAGUGGUUUUGGUUGGAUACUAUUUAUAUGGGUGUAACACCGUUGGGUCGUGGUGUAACAACAAGCGAGACAAACGAAAUGCCAUGCGAGUGUCGUAAUGCCAAGGCGACCGCAAACCGAUCCCACAAAAUCUCAUUUUUCAUUAUGUCAAUACCGAUUGAAUUAUUAAUUUUUUAAUUGUGAUGAAAUUAUAGUUUUUUUCCCCAUGGAGAGAAAAUAAUAAAAUAAGUCUUAUGUAA